rnacentral:rRNA from 1 species
GAGGGGUGCAAGCGUUAUUCGGAAUCAUUGGGCGUAAAGGGUGUGUAGACGGUAUAUUAAGUCAGCUGUUAAAUUUUCCGGCCUAACCGGAAGCCUGCGGUUGAAACUGGUUUACUAGAGGAUGGAAGAGAGAAGUGGAAUUCUCGGAGUAGCGGUAAAAUGCGUAGAUCUCGAGAGGAACACCAAUGGCGAAGGCAGCUUCUUGGUCCAUUCCUGACGUUGAGACACGAAAGCGUGGGGAGCAAACAGGAUUAGAUACCCUGGUAGUCCACGCCGUAAAAGAUGAUCACUAGACGUUAGUUCUGUUUUACAGGAUUAGUGUCGUAGCUAACGCGUUAAGUGAUCCGCCUGGGGAGUACGGUCGCAAGAUUA